AAAACACGAGCGCAGUAAACCACAACGCGCCAGUCAGUGAGCUAGUAAGUGAGCGACGAUACUUGUGUUCAGAUUAAGUUAAAGACAAGGGGAUCAUGGACGAAAUAAAAGAUCAACCAAGCUUCAAUUUCGAGGAGAAGAAGGAAAAUAUAGAUAACGAAAACUUAUUGUCGUACAAAAAUGACGGAGUAGUGUAAAUCCCUGAUCUGCCUAUCGGAUAUGAUAAUGCCUUCAUUGAUCAACAUAAAGACGACUUUUCCGGUGAAGAUCACCGAAAUGGAAACCUGGAACCCUUUAUUUGAAAAUAUUCGAAAUAUUGUCAGUUUGAAGAAGGGCAAAGCAAUACUGGAAGUAAAAGAUGGUGAACGGAAAUUACAAUAUAUAUUAAGUAACGCGCUUGGCGUGGACUCAUCUCAAACUAACACGAUUGGUAGCCCAGAACGCGUGGAAGGCUGUUUGGAAUUGCUCCACUUUCUCGCCUCGCAAAAGCCUGCUAAUUGUAUAGAUUACGACCGAGAUGAGAUAUCAGUGUCGUACGAUAAACUAUAUCGGAAUGGAAAGGAGUUUAAAGGCAUGAACAAACUACUUGGAACAGGAAUCUCUGGUGGCGUAGUGGUUGUUAAAGACAAGACAACUGGCACAGAACAUGGUCUUAAAACCGGUAGUAUAUUACGUUUGAUUUCAUAUUUCUUAAAUACAUACCUUAUUGCUUGGUUUAACUUUUUUUGAUUUGUUGAAAGCUUCGAGAACAAUGAUUUUCUGGUUGUAUAAUUUACACUGCAGCUUUCAUGUGUUUUAAACUGUACGUGUGACUUUGAUACUGUAAUGUAUAUUUCAUGUAUAACAUGUAAAUAUCAUCCGAAUUCAUUCCUCAUCCGAAUAUCGGUGCACAUUAUUUUUGUUGUUCACAUAUUGUCUAUGCAGUGCACUGCAUUUAGCAAGAUAAUGUUC